rnacentral:tRNA from 1 species
GCUCCCAUGGCGUAGUGGUCACUGCGCUCGCCUUGCACGCGGGAGACCCGGGUUCGAAUUCCCGGCGGGGUCA